rnacentral:rRNA from 1 species
UGGGAAUUUUGGACAAUUGGGCGAAAGCCUGAUCCAGCAAUGCCGCGUGUGUGAAGAAGGCCUUCGGGUUGUAAAGCACUUUUGUCCGGAAAGAAAUCCUUGGCUCUAAUACAGUCGGGGGAUGACGGUACCGGAAGAAUAAGCACCGGCUAACUACGUGCCAGCAGCCGCGGUAAUACGUAGGGUGCAAGCGUUAAUCGGAAUUACUGGGCGUAAAGCGUGCGCAGGCGGUUUGCUAAGACCGAUGUGAAAUCCCCGGGCUCAACCUGGGAACUGCAUUGGUGACUGGCAGGCUAGAGUAUGGCAGAGGGGGGUAGAAUUCCACGUGUAGCAGUGAAAUGCGUAGAGAUGUGGAGGAAUACCGAUGGCGAAGGCAGCCCCCUGGGACAAUACUGACGCUCAUGCACGAAAGCGUGGGGAGCAAACAGGAUUAGAUACCCUGGUAGUCCACGCCCUAAANGAUGUCAACUAGUUGUUGGGGAUUCAUUUCCUUAGUAACGUAGCUAACGCGUGAAGUUGACCGCCUGGGGAGUACGGUCGCAAGAUUAAAACUCAAAUGAAUUNACGGGGUCAUAGCUG